rnacentral:rRNA from 1 species
GACGAACCGUGCGAACGUUGUUCGGAUUCACUGGGCUUAAAGGGCGCGUAGGCGGGUCGGUAAGUCCGGGGUGAAAGCCCCCAGCUCAACUGGGGAAGGGCCCCGGAUACUGCCGGCCUCGAGGAGGGUAGGGGCGGGCGGAACUUCCGGUGGAGCGGUGAAAUGCGUAGAUAUCGGAAGGAACGCCGGUGGCGAAAGCGGCCCGCUGGACCCUCUCUGACGCUGAGGCGCGAAAGCCAGGGGAGCAAACGGG